AGAAAUAGCACCCCUGGAAGCCUGCCGGCGAAAAUGGCAUCUUUCCAUCUCUUCACUAUUGUACUUGAAAUCGAUCAGCCAGAACCAGCCAGUUAGCCCAGUUCGAUCGAUCUAAUUAGAUAGACGUACAAAAACUAUUGGUCUGCAUGGUGAUCUGUGGGGACUGGGAUUCUUCACGGGCCUUCGUCUUUUUCAGUGUUCUUGCUUUAGCUAGUUGCAGGUCUGAGGGCAUCCUUGUCUCCGGUCUCCACUCUCCACUCUCCAUGCAUAUAUUUAUAUUUAUAUUUAUAUAGAUAGAUAGAUGGAUUUGUCAUCAAUGGUGUGUACGUACAUUGAUUCUUCUUCUGAAGAUCCUCCUCUUGUUCUUAAUUAACUAAGCGACCUGGUUUUGGAUUUUAGGUCGAUCUGCACUGGAGUUUAAUCCUCCAACACUUCCAACUUGGCAAAACAUAAAAUAUCAGGAGAAUCAAUUACAUCUAUUACUAUUAUAUAUUUUAGUGCGUCUUUCUUCAACGUGCCAAAGUGUGCCGAACUGAUCUAGUCCAUCGUUGUUUAAUUCAACAGUUUUUUUAUUACCACUCACUUUACCUAUGUAUUGAACUACGUACGUCUCUUGCACGUAUCUCGAGAAAAAAACCAUGUCUACGAACUAAACCCUAAAUAUAGCAGAG
rnacentral:lncRNA from 1 species